CCUACGGGAGGCAGCAGUGAGGAAUAUUGGUCAAUGGACGAGAGUCUGAACCAGCCAAGUAGCGUGAAGGAUGACUGCCCUAUGGGUUGUAAACUUCUUUUAUAUGGGAAUAAAAAAGGGUAUGCAUACCCUCUUGUAUGUACCAUAUGAAUAAGGAUCGGCUAACUCCGUGCCAGCAGCCGCGGUAAUACGGAGGAUCCGAGCGUUAUCCGGAUUUAUUGGGUUUAAAGGGAGCGUAGGUGGAUUGUUAAGUCAGUUGUGAAAGUUUGCGGCUCAACCGUAAAAUUGCAGUUGAAACUGGCAGUCUUGUGUGCAGUAGAGGUGGGCGGAAUGCGUGGUGUAGCGGUGAAAUGCUUAGAUAUCACGAAGAACUCCGAUUGCGAAGGCAGCUCACUGGACUACAACUGACACUGAUGCUCGAAAGUGUGGGUAUCGAACAGGAUUAGAUACCCGUGUAGUC
rnacentral:rRNA from 1 species